AUCAAGGUUCAUACAGCUUUUAUAAAAGUAAAUAAAAGCGCAUCACAGGCACUUUUCAACACUGUCAAAAUCCUAAAUCUCAAACACCAUGCAGAGCAGCAGACUACAGUCACCUUUUCUCUUAUGUACAGUGGAUGUGUUUACCACACAUUUUCCAGCAAUGCCCUCAACAGGGAGAAAUGAUAAUGGACAUGAGGUGUCUGUUCCCCUCAAGUUCCAAACUUUUACCGACUUUCCAUAAAAAUGUCUGUUGGGAUGGGGAUGAAGCCUGGAAACUCCUGCAAUUACGUGUCUAUAUAUAGUACUCUCUGACCUGACAUUAAUAGCUAUGAACUGCUUCAUAAUGGCUGGUCGUGGUUCUGUCAGAGGUUCAAGGAUGGAUUCCUUAAAAAACACCAUCUAGCACAGGGUUCCCCAAUUAGUUUUCCCCAGGGGCCAAAUAAUUUCAAAUGUGCCAAGCCAAGGGCCAAAACAUACACUUUGUUUUUUGUGCAAGUUGACGUUAUUGCUAUUAUUUGUAGUAGUAGUAGCAGCAGUAGUAAUAAUUUAUACAUCUAACUCUCAAACCUAGAGGCUCGCACAAAACAAGAAAUUGUACUGUAAACAAAUUAAGUCCAAAACCAACCAUUUAUUUACCUAAAUGCCCAUUUAUAACACUCACACUCUCACCAACACACUGAAAUAUAUUAAUUUUAAAGAUCUCAAACCAAAUGCAUUUACAUCUAUAUGGUCCAUGCUCAUACAAAGCUUAAACAAUGGCACUAACAUGACAGCAGAGCAUCCUGAGGCAGAGGUUACUGUCAGAUUUUCAACAGAUUUUCAAGGUCUGACAUAUCAUUGAAUGCUAUUGUACUGUAAUUAUAUUGUUUAACAGUGUACAUCUGAAAAACGUCCAAACAGCUUUCCACAGACACAUCACAUUACUACAACAUAUUCAUCUGUCAUGAAGUACCAAGUUAGAUUAGAUGACACCAGAACCAGCAAACAACAAAGGCAACUAUUUCAUUAUUUACACACAAACACAGAUUUUAAGAUGUUUCUGGUACUUUUAAAAUGUGGCUAAAUGCAACAAUAACACGAGUUACAUUUGUAUAAAUGUACAUAUCAGAUCAUAUCAACAUAUAACUACCAAAUAAUAUUAGCUUUUUUGGGGGGGCAAAAAUUCCAUUAAAAUAUUUAAAGCAUGAAAAGAUGCAACAAAAAAUGUAAUCAUAAGUGUUAUUGUUGCAUUAUGGACAAAAAUAAAUGCUCACUCACCAAUCAGUGAGAGAAGUGACAGCACUGGGAGGAGGCAAUGCUUCUGAUAUCAGGCCUGUACUCUGUUGUGGCAAUCCUGAGGCACUGGUCAAGAUGAGCAUUGGACAGUCUGUUUCUGUCCUGGUUUUUGAUUGAGUUCAUUGAGGAGAAUGAUGACUCACAUAUGUAUGUGGAGGGGAACAUUGUGAGUAGGAGCAUUGCAAUACCUCUGGUGUUUUUAAAGCGAGCUUGGGGAACCAUGUUGAUCCAAAAGUCUUUCACCCCAACAUCCCUGUGUUGUGCUUUGAGCACAUCAGAUGUUCCCAUCUCCAAGACCUCCAUCUGAAGAGCUGCCUCAUCAAUGGAAGGCCACACCUUUUUGGCCUCUGCAGUCCACUGACCAUCAGCUGAGACAGAGAAUGGCUGUCUCAGGAAGAGGAGGAUGUCACUUGAGAGUUUGGGGGUGCAUUCAAAACACUCAUAAAAGUUUUUUGCCAGGCUACUCACAAAAUCCUGCAUCACUUGAUCCUCACCCAUGUUGUUCUUCUCGCAGUGCUCCCUCAGACGUGGAAAGUGCAACUUUCUCCCCUGAAUGUCUUUCUCCAGAAGUUUUACCUUUGACCGGAAAGCUUCAACUGCCUUGUACAUGUCCACAACAGUGUGGUUCUUGCCUUGUAGUUGCAAAUUAAGGCAAUUUAGAUGAGACAUGAUGUCACACAGGAAAAAAACAUAUCCCAUCAUGUCAUUGUCAAUUAAAAAUAUUUUAAAUUCCUGGGCUCUUUGGCUUUGCAGGGUAGAUAAGAAGGACGCCAGUUCAUCACGUAGGUCGCACACCCUCUCCAACACACGGCCUUUGCUCAGCCAGCGGACAUCGUUAUGCAGCAAGAGAUCCUUGUGUUCCGCUGAUAUUUCAUCCAGCAUCGCUCUGAAAAGGCGAUGUUGCAAACUGGAAUUUUCAUGAACGAAAUUAACAAGUCUUGUAACAGUAUCCAUCGUCUCUUGCAUCUUCCCACACAGUUUGGCGCACAGCACUGAUUUGUGAAUGAUACAGUGAAAUGCCAGGAGUGCCGGAUUAAUGGCGGAAAGCCUGCUUACCAAGCCCUUGUGUUGUUCCACCACUGACGGAGCCCCGUCGGUGACAAUGGAGACGAUUUGCCAACAUCCAAGCCAUUCUUCACAAAGAAUUGAGUCAGUACGGUAAAGAUGACUUCCCCGGUUGUGCGCCCAGUCAGAGGAAGAAGACACAGCAACUCUUCCCGAAACGUCUUUCCAUCAAAAAAUCUUGCAAAAACAGAAAGCUGUUCCCUAUCAGUGCGGUCACAGGACGAGUCUAUGGCUAGUGAAAUAGCUUCAGCUUUCUUCAAAUCGGUGGGAAAAACAGUCCACGGCUAAAACUUCCACUCUUCGUGUAGCCGUGUUAGCCGACAAUGGCACCUGCUGUAGUAGUUCUACAACAGUCUUCUUUUGUUUUUCAUCAUGACGUAAAACUUCGCUAACCAUAGCAACUGCACAGGAUUUCAUUAACUCAGCAUCAGCAAAUGGCUUGUUAGCUUUAGCCAGGUACCAGGAUAUCUGCAAUGAUGCAGCUGUGGCGCUCUCUUGUGCCGAUGUUGAUUUAGAGAUCGUCGAUACGGAGUGCUUGAAUGAUGUUAUCAUAUUUGCUAUCUUUUGCUUGCGCUGAUCGGACUCUGGAGGAUAGUUGGCAUUGAAACUGGCAGCAUGCAUAGUGUUGAAGUGCCGCUUCAGAUUAUCUGUUUUGCAGACAACCACAGUUUGCAUGCAAAUCAAGCAUGUUGGCUUAGCUUUAGCGUGAUCUGGUAAAAUAAAACAAAAACAAUCAGUCCAGUCAGAUUUAAACUGAUGGUUUUCAAAGUCCGCUUUAUGCUUCUUCGUGUUAGCCAUGCUCUUGGGUUUGGACAGAUGUGCCUGGUACCACCACUAUUAGCGUUCAAGGUAGACAGAUUCACUGCAGGACUGAAAAGAGCGUGCAGGAGAUCUUACGUUCAUGCGCGUUCGAUGGCGUGAGGUCGGAGGUCAGGGGUACGGUGUGGGAUGAGAUCAAAAUGAAAAAGCGCAGCACAUUUAUUUUCCACAUUAGGACAGGUGUGUUAGUGCGGUUGAUUUGGUACGGGCCAGACAUUUGUAUACUGCGGGCCGGAUGUGGCCCGCGGGCCGCCAAUUGGAGUUCGCUGAUCUAGCAAAUACAUAUGCUGACCUUUCUGGUCUAGAUCUGUCAUUCAAAUAUGUUACAAGUUUGCAUGACAUGGCAAAAUGAUCAACUUUAGUUACAGUGUUCAGGGUUCGUCUGAUGAUACAUUAUCAACACUGCAUGCACACUACCAGACAAAUGUUUGGACACACCUUGUCAUUCAGUGGUUUUUUGUAUUAUUUAUACAUUGUAGAUUAAUACUGAAUAUUAACUCUUUUUUGUUUACAACAUAAUUCCAUAUGUAUUUAUGUAUUGAAUGAGAAGAUGUGUCCAAACUUUUGACUGGUAAUGUAGAUCAAGCUCAUCUAGGAUGAUAUGACAGUGGCAUCACUGUAAAGGGCAAAGCCUUUUCUUCUUUUGAUCAAAGAAGUUCAUGUUACAGGCAUAGAGAAAAUCUGUUGACCUGGAGAAGUCGGCAUGUUACUUUAAGAAAUGCUGCGUCACUGACGUCAUCACGUUAGAGUUGCUCGUCCAAUCACGCGUAGUCUCGCAAGAACCGCGCGAUACACAAAUAGACAAAGAAGUCGUCUUUGUUAUGUGAGUUUUUACAAUGGCGGCCUGGUAUCACAAGUCCAACUCACCCAAACUCCUCGCAUAACACAGCCUGGACAUGACCGACUGGUUCCAGUGAGACCCGCGAUAGACACUGAGAAGAAGCUGUUGAGCGUUAUCAGUGGGCUGUCUGGCCAGAGAGGACCGCUGGAGCAGAAGUUGGAGCAGAAGUUGGAGGAAAAGCUGGAGCGGUGUCAGAGCUGCAGGAGAGGAUGGCCGCCAUGGAAGCCAAAUUAAGCACUUUCUCCAGCGGAAAAGAGGAGAGCAACAGUCCUAAAAUUGCGGUAAGAAUAUAUUCCAUUUGUAGGAUAUUUUUAGUGAGUUUUAGCACAAUGCUUUGAAUUGGUAACAUUAAGCACUGAUAUCAUGCAGUCCUCCAUCUUUGUUAACAAACGUGACUUUAUUUUUUGCCUUUUUGUAGUUUUAGGAACAAGGGUAAGACAGUUUAUUCUUUUCUUUUUCAUUUCUUUUUUGUUUGAAAAAAAUAUUUACUGUAAGCAUGUAUAAUAAUUCAUUGUCAGCUGAAUGCACACAAUUAAAUUGUUGUACUGUAGAUUGUAAACCAUUUAUGCAUUCAUUCAAAUUGUGUCUGCUAAACUGUUAAACUGCUAAAACUGUUUUAAAUUACUUUACAGUUGACUCAGCAGUUAUUCUGCUGUGCGUAUCAAAUGAAUUUCUGAUUUAUUUUCACAGACCGGGCUCACCUCACAACGAGGCAGUCAGGACAUAUUUAGUUAAAACUUUGGCUGAAGUCCAGAUGUGGAGGAUGUGGAGACAGACGUCUUUCUAUCUGCUGGAUGCCAGGAAGAGGGUCCUUACUCCAGAUGAAGAGCACUUACGGAAGGGCAUCACAACUGACAACUGUGUGUGGAUGGAUAGUGCAGCCUCCAUCCUUCCGCAGCAAGGAGCUUGCCAACCUGCUGCCCUACAGGCAAGGCUGGAGGCUGAUGUGAG